GACGAACGCUGGCGGCGUGCUUAACACAUGCCAGUCGAACGGAAAGGCCCUGCUUUUGUGGGGUGCUCGAGUGGCGAACGGGUGAGUAACACGUGAGUAACCUGCCCUUGACUUUGGGAUAACUUCAGGAAACUGGGGCUAAUACCGGAUAGGAGCUCCUGCUGCAUGGUGGGGGUUGGAAAGUUUCGGCGGUAGGGGAUGGACUCGCGGCUUAUCAGCUUGUUGGUGGGGUAGUGGCUUACCAAGGCUUUGACGGGUAGCCGGCCUGAGAGGGUGACCGGCCACAUUGGGACUGAGAGACGGCCCAGACUCCUACGGGAGGCAGCAGUGGGGAGUAUUGCACAAUGGGCGGAAGCCUGAUGCAGCAACGCCGCGUGCGGGAUGACGGCCUUCGGGUUGUAAACCGCUUUCGCCUGUGACGAAGCGUGAGUGACGGUAAUGGGUAAAGAAGCACCGGCUAACUACGUG
rnacentral:rRNA from 1 species